UGAGGAAUAUUGGUCAAUGGGGGCAACCCUGAACCAGCCAAGUCGCGUGAAGGAUGAAGGUCUUAUGGAUUGUAAACUUCUUUUAUACAGGAAUAAAUUGGGGGACGUGUCCCCUUUUGCAUGUACUGUAUGAAUAAGGAUCGGCUAACUCCGUGCCAGCAGCCGCGGUAAUACGGAGGAUCCGAGCGUUAUCCGGAUUUAUUGGGUCUAAAGGGUGCGCAGGCGGGAUGUUAAGUCGGCGGUGAAAUUUUGCAGCUCAACUGUAAAAGUGCCUUCGAUACUGGCCUCCUUGAGUGUGGAUGAAGUAGGCGGAAUUUGUGGUGUAGCGGUGAAAUGCUUAGAUAUCACGAGGAACUCCGAUUGCGCAGGCAGCUUACUAAGCCACAACUGACGCUCAUGCACGAAGGCGUGGGGAUCAAAC
rnacentral:rRNA from 1 species